AUCCAGCUAGCUCUGUGGUUUCUUUUUAAAAGCCAGAAAGGUUCACAAUAUUCUACUUAUUGACAGUCUUUUGUCUCCCGUUGGCCUUUCUUUCAGAUGAAUAACAUGAUCUCAAGUGCUGGGAGACAGUGAGUGUUUAAUCGCCUCACACCUGCCUUUCUGUAAAACUGCAACCUAUUCCUGUUCUGUAACCUCUAAAACUCUCCACCAGCAAUUUACUGAUGCAGCCAAUUAGACAAAGGAGGCAAGAUUUCGGAAGCCCUUUCAGAGGGAUCAGUCAUUCUUGGGCCUACAACACAAUGAGCCCGACUGCUGAGCUUCUCAGUGAAAACAUUGGCGGCUGUCUUCUAGGAUGGAGCUUAGGGGAAUUCCUUUCACAUUUUGAAAUUACUAGCUCCAGGAUACAUUGUCAUCCAGAAAUAUGUGGCCAGAUCAUCAUGCAAUCUUGCCUCUUUCCCCCAAUUCUCAUCUCUAUCUGGUUACUUCUAAAGGACAGGUUUCAUCCCAUUGGGAUUUCCACUGGCAAAACUCCCAUUGUUAAAACGGAUCCUUUGACAAUGUCUAGAGUUCAAAAGUAGCAUAGUAGUUAGUGUGAUGGAUGAAAAUUGCACCUAUUUAAAUUGAGAUAUAUUUAGAGAGAAUCGCAAAUGAUCAUUAGUAAACAUGCAGGAUUAACAACUACUCAAUAAUGAUGUUUCUUUACUUACAUUUUCAUUUUUAAUAAUAUCUUGAUCCUCCUGGUCUUCUUGCUAUGUUUUGGCCUGUUUAUUAAAACGUUACCUAUAAAAUGCUUAAGUCCCAAAGAAUUUCAGCAGGUAUUAUAUCAAGACCCUUAAUUAAUUUUUUUUUUCCAGAUCUGAACACUGAGGUUCCUAGGUGACAGAUAAUGCUCCUGGCCAACAUAGGAUCUCAUUUGAAGAUGACAGAGGAACUAUUCGUGGAUAGGCCAUUCCUUUCUGCUGUAAGAAUCAGUGAGCAAAGGAAAGAGAUUCAUGUGCCAUUUCAUUGGCUUAAGGUACUUUUCUGAUAUAACAGAAUUUUGGGGCC
rnacentral:lncRNA from 1 species